rnacentral:rRNA from 1 species
GAUGAACGCUGGCGGCGUGCCUAAUACAUGCAAGUCGAGCGAACGGACGAGAAGCUUGCUUCUCUGAUGUUAGCGGCGGACGGGUGAGUAACACGUGGAUAACCUACCUAUAAGACUGGGAUAACUUCGGGAAACCGGAGCUAAUACCGGAUGAUAUUUUGAACCGCAUGGUUCAAAAGUGAAAGACGGUCUUGCUGUCACUUAUAGAUGGAUCCGCGCUGCAUUAGCUAGUUGGUAAGGUAACGGCUUACCAAGGCAACGAUGCAUAGCCGACCUGAGAGAGUGAUCGGCCACACUGGAGCUGAGACACGGUCCAGACUCCUACGGGAGGCAGCAGUAGGGAAUCUUCCGCAGUAGGCGAAAGCCUGACGGAGCAACGCCGCGUGAGUGAUGAAGAUCUUCGGAUCGUAAAGCUCUGUUAUUAGGGGAGAACAUAUGUGUAAGUAACUGUGCACAUCUUGACGGUACCUAAUCAGAAAGCCACGGCUAACUACGUG